UACGGAGGAUGCGAGCGUUAUCCGGAUUUAUUGGGUUUAAAGGGUGCGUAGGCGGACGCUUAAGUCAGCGGUAAAAUUGCGGGGCUCAACCUCGUCGAGCCGUUGAAACUGGGUGCCUUGAGUGGGCGAGAAGUACGCGGAAUGCGUGGUGUAGCGGUGAAAUGCAUAGAUAUCACGCAGAACUCCGAUUGCGAAGGCAGCGUACCGGCGCCCUACUGACGCUGAAGCACGAAGGCGUGGGUAUCGAAUAGG
rnacentral:rRNA from 1 species